rnacentral:rRNA from 1 species
AGAGGUGGCAAGCGUUGUUCGGAAUUACUGGGCGUAAAGGGCGCGUAGGCGGCCUUGUAAGUCUCGUGUGAAAGCCCUCGGCUUAACUGAGGAUCUGCACGGGAUACUGUAGGGCUCGAGUUCGGGAGAGGAAAGCGGAAUUCCGGGUGUAGCGGUGAAAUGCGUAGAUAUCCGGAGGAACACCAGUGGUGAAGGCGGCUUUCUGGACCGACACUGACGCUGAUGCGCGAAAGCUAGGGGAGCAAACGGGAUUAGAUACCCCGGUAGUCCUAGCUGUAAACGAUGAUCGCUGGGUGUGGGGGGUUUUUACUCCCCCCGUGCCGAAGCUAACGCAUUAAGCGAUCCGCCUGGGGAGUACGGUCGCAAGGSKG